ACUGUNNACCAGACACAUAUGCGUCUCUGCUAAAGCUAUGCUGAAGUAUGGAGGGUGAUAGUAGUCUGACCAAUGGUUGAUCUAAAAGAGUGUGGCUGAAGGCAACUUCAUAAUGGGCAAUACGAAUGGCCGCAGGUAACACUAGACCGUGAUAAUGUAACGUAAUCAUAGCCAAUUAAUUGUUGGCCGGUAUGAAUGGCGUCAUCAACGCCCCACUGUCUUAAGAGGACUCUCCAUGAAAUUGAAUUCGUAGUGAAGAUGCUACUCCAUAUUGUAAGACUGAAAAGACCCCAUUGAGCUUUACUAAAGACUUGCAUGGCUCAAAAUAUUGCUUAAAUAAAAAGUUUAGAUAAUGUGGGAUCCGUUUCCGGUUAAUGAACACCACUCUUUUAUUUUAAGAGAGCUAACAUUACAGGGAUAGUGUAAGUUGGAUAGCUUGGUUGGGGCGACCACCUUUUGAAAGGUAGUAGGUGAGCUUAAGGUCGUAGUUAAUAGCCGGUUGCAGGGGCGUCUUAGAGCCAUCCUUAGGGAUGUGGGCUAUAAGCCCGUCAUUUAGGUGUGGAAGGUUGAAGAUCAUUUAAUCAAAGGCUCCCAUGGGGACCAACAGCUGUUACUCGGUUAGAGAGGUUUAUUGAAGACAGAUGUUGGCCCAGAUGUUGGAUUGGCCCCUGGGGUCAGCCGCCCCCAAGGGDUUGGUCUGUUACCUUUAAA
rnacentral:rRNA from 1 species